AAACCUCACAAUAGAGGUAACUACUGCCAGAACAGCACUGGAGGAGGGUUGAACCACAGCUCAAUAACAGGAAGGACUAUGAGCCUCAGACAAAGUCCCGAAGCAAUUAUUCAUCUCUUAUUAAAACUCAAAACCUUCCAGCAUUUAAGAAUACCAUCAGGAGUGGGUGAUGUAAAGACUCAGUUUGAUUACAAUAAAAAUUUUGA